UACGUAGGUGGCAAGCGUUGUCCGGAUUUACUGGGUGUAAAGGGCGCGUAGGCGGGCUCGUAAGUCAGACGUGAAAUACCGGGGCUCAACCCCGGGGCUGCGUUUGAAACUGCGAGUCUUGAGUGCCGGAGAGGAAAGCGGAAUUCCUAGUGUAGCGGUGAAAUGCGUAGAUAUUAGGAGGAACACCAGUGGCGAAGGCGGCUUCCUGGACUGUAACUGACGCUGAGGCACGAAAGUGUGGGGAGCAAACAGG
rnacentral:rRNA from 1 species